UGCAGCCUGUGGAAGUUUCCAGGCUAGGGGUCUAAUCGGAGUUAUAGCUGCCAGCCACAGCCACAGCCACAGCAACGUCAGACCCAAGCCGCAUCUAUUACCUACAUCAUAGCUCACAGCAAGGCCAGAUCCUUAACCCACUGAAUGAGGCCAGGGAUCAAGCCUGCAUCCUCAUGGAUACUAGUCAGGUUCAUUACCACUGAGCCAUGCUGGGAAUUCCCACGUAUUACUUCUUAAGCUGCAUGUAAAUUACAAUUACCUCAAAAUAAAAGAUUUUUGGGGUGUUUUUUUGUUAGUUUUUGUUUGUUUGUUUUUUAUGGUUGCACCUGUGACAUAUGGAAGUUCCCAGGCUAGGGGUCAAAUCAGAGCUGCAGCUGCCAGCCUACACCACAGCCACAGCAACAGCAAGGCCAGAUCUGAGCCACAUCUGUGACCUAUGCAGAAGCUUGCAGCAAUGGUGGGUCCUUAGCCCACUGAUCGAGGUAGGGGAUCGAACAUGCAUCCUCAGGGAGACUACUUCAGGUUCUUAACCCACUGAGCCACAUUGGAAACUCCAAAAAGGGUUAAUUAAAAUUAACUUAUAAAAGAAAGAAGCAUAAUAACAUAAAGUAUUAUUGUAAUUAUUUUGGCUCCUCCUCCUCCUCCUGCCUUCGGUGUACAAACUUUCAAAGAUGCAGUCAGACUCUUAAAGUGACUACGGGCUCAUGGCCAUAAAUGCCCCUCAAAGGCAGCCCCCUGCACCAGACAGCUCCAGACACAACUCCCACUUCACCUAGCUCAGCCUUUCUCCUCACAUGCCCCCGUUACACAGAUAGGGAGACUGAGGCCCCAAAAGGAAGAAUGGUCUGCCUGAUAUCAGGUGCACACAGCAUGUCGUGGCAGGGCUGUUGCACUUGUGAGUUGGUCUGACUCAUGAUCAAGAUGUGUGACUAGCUCAGAGCAGGCACUCAAUCAUCACACAUUUCAGUCUCUUCCUCACUCUUCCUGCCUGCCUGCCUUCUUUCAUCCCUUACUUCUCUCUGCCUUUCCCCUUUACUCCUUUUCUUCCCACCCGAGUCUUACUCAGCCUCAGAGGGCAAAUGCUCCAGUUAUCUAAUUCUGUGAAAUAAACCACUCCCAAAACUUAGUGGCUCAAGUCAACAAUGGUCAUUUAUUUUGCUUGCAAAUCUGCGUGGAAGGCAAGGCCUAGCAGGAAAGGUCUGUCUCUGUUCCGUGCAGCACUGGCUAAAGCAGUGCACCAGGAAGCUGGAGGAUCCACCCCCAAGACAGCUUCCCCUGAGGGGCUGGCAGGUCACUGCUGCUGAGACCUGGGUUCAUCUCCACUCAGACAUCCACAGGGGCCCCUCCAGGCUGUUGGACUUCCUCACAGCAUGGUGGAUGGGUUCCCAGAGCAAAUAUCCCAAGACAUAGGAAGCAGAGGUGGCUAGCUUCUAAAGACCUGGGAACUGGCCCGAGGUUACUUCUGCCAUAUUUUAUUAGUCAAGAACUUCCAGAGCCAGACUCAAAAUAGGGGCAUAGAUCCCAACUCUCAACAGGAUGAGUGUCAAGACAUUUUUGUUUUAAACUGUCAUAGUAUAGAAGAUAGAUAUACAAAAAUUAGUUGCAUUUCUAUCUACUUCCAAUGAACAAGGAAGAUAAAAUUAAGGCAAUUCAUUUACCAUAACAUCAAAAAGAAAGGAGUAUUUAGGAGUAAAUUUAACAAAAGAAAUAAAAGAAUUGUACACAGAACACCAUACAAUAUUGUUAAAAGACAUCAAAGAAGAUCUCAGGAAAAGGAGACUUAAGUAAAAAUGAAUUGGAAGACUCAAAACUGCUGCAAUGGUGAGUUCCCCCAAAUUACCAUUAAAAUCCCUAUCAGGAGCUCCCAUCAUGGUGCAGCAGAAACAAAUCCGACUAGGAACCAUGAGGUUGCAGGUUCAAUCCCUGGCCUUGCUCCACGGGUCAAGGAACAAAGAACAAAGUGGGAAAACUCACACUACUAGAUUUCAAAUUUUACCGCAAAGCUACAGUAAUCAAGAUAGCACCAUAACAAAAAGAUAGGGGAAUGGAUCAAUGCAAGAGAGUAUAAAAUCCAGAAAUAAAACCACUUAUCCCAAGUUUUAGCUAUGCAACGACUAGAAAACUAUGCAACCACUAGAAAAAUAUAGAACACCUUUAUGACUUAAGUAAACAUUUCUUAGUUAUAGAUAAAUACGACCCUAUAAAUAUGAUUCAUAGUAGAAAAGAAUAGAUAAAUUUUAAACUUUUUAGGGAGUCACCUGCAGCAUAUGAAAGUUCCCAGGCUAGGGGUCAAAUCAGAACUGCAUUGGAGUUCCUGUUGUGGCGCAGCAGUUAACAAAUCUGACUAGGAACCAUGGGGUUGUGGGUUCGGUCCCUGGCCUUUCUCAGUGGGUUGGGGAUCCGGCGUUGCCGUGAGCUGUGGUAUAGGUUGCAGACACUGCUCAGAUCCCGCAUUGCUGUGGCUCUGGUGUAGGCUGGUGGCUACAGCUCUGAUUAGACCCCUAGCCUGGGAACUUCCAUAUGCCGCAGGAGCGGCCCUAGAAAAGGCAAAAAGACAAAAAAUUAAAAAUUAAAAAAAAAAAAACAACUGCAUCUGCUGGCUUACACCAUAGCUGCAGGAACUCAGGAUCCAAGCCACAUCUCAGCUUGCAGCAACACUGGAUCCUUAACCUGCUGAGCCACAAUGGGAACUCCAAAAUUUAAAACUUUUGCACUUCAAAAGACGAUGAAGAAAAUGAAGAUGCAAGCCGCAAACUAGGAGAAAAUGCUGACAAAUUAUGAAUCUGAUAAAGAACAUGUAUCAAAAAUAGAUGAUAAACUUUUACAAAUCAAUAAUAAAACAAAAAACCCAAUGAAAAGAAGAGAUUUGAAUAAACACCAAAGAUCCACAAAUGACUAACAGGCCCAUGAAAAGAAACUCAGCAUCAUUAGCCAUCAGGGAAAGAAAUGCAAGUAAGAGAUACUCCUACAGACCCAGGAGAACGGCUGUAAUAAAAAGAAAAACAGUAGUAAGCAUUGGAGAGGAAGUGAAGAAACUGAAAUCUUUACAUGGUGUGGGUGAGGAUACAAAAUGGUACAGCCACCUUGGAACACGUUUGGCAGUUUCUUUUAAAGUUAAGCAUAUACUUAGCAUAUGACUCCUAGGUACUUACCCAAGAGAAAUGGAAAUAAAUAUCUAUGCGAAGACUUCCCUACAACUGUUCAUAGCAGCCUUAUCUGAAAUGUCCCUAACUUGGAAGCAGUCCUCAUGUCUGUGAUCGGGGGAAAGGAUUAAUAAAAUGUGGAUAACCACACACCAGAAUACCACUUCGCAAUAAAAAGGAAUGAAGUCCGGACACCUGAAAUAAGAAGAAUGUACCUCAGAAGCAUUAUGCUGAGUUAAAGAAGCCAGACACAAAACGUUCCUUAUCAUGUGACUCCAUUUACACAAAAUUUCUAGAAAAGGGGAAACUGUAGAGAAAAAAAUGAUGGAAAUGCUCUAAACUGGUUUGUCAUGAUGGCCGUGCACUAUAUAAAUUUAUUAAAACGCAUCCAACGGCGCACUUCCAAUGGGUAACUUUCACGGUUUGUAAAUUAUAUUUCAAUAAAGCUGGUUUUUCUAAAAAGCUACAGCAAGGCGCCAGCCUAGAAAAGGCCGUGGGAGAUUCUGGGGGACAAGACUGGCCCCGGAAAGGCAGAGUGCUCUGGACUCAAGCCCCCAGAACACAGACUGACCUGAGCCUCUCAAAACCCUUUAAUCAGGCCCUGACCCCAGGUCCCCCAGCACCCUGGCCACGGACAGCUCAGAGGCCUCUUCCUGGGCUCCCUGGGAGCUCACCAGUCACGGGAUAGCACCAUCCUUCAGUCCACUGUGCCACAGUCCUGCUGGCCUCACACGCAGCUCUGCCACCUGUACUGCCAGUGCUGUGUGGCCAGGUUCCCACCCACCAGGAUCCCCAAAAAAAGUGUGGUGGACCCCAGACAGGUCAAUUCACCUCCCCGGGCCUCCGUUUCCUCAUCUGCCAGUGUGGCACAACCACCUGCCUCUCUCAGGAGGUACGUUAUGUCAGGGGAGUGGGUGAGAUGGUGCCCAGAGAACUGACAGGUCACGGGUAAACGUGGUGGGAAAUUAAACCACUGGGCCCUGGGGCAUCAUGGGAAAUGGGAGAGAGGCUUCUAAACUCAGGUCCAGUCCUAAAUCUAUGUGCCCAAUCCCCCCAUGCAACGAUGUCUCGGUGAGGGGGGAAAUCCUUGGAGAUCUCCAUCCAACCUCUAUCUCAUUCAGGGUCUCUUCUAGCACAGCCUAGAGGGUUGGGAGAUCACAUUUGGCUUAGACUCCUCUAGCACUGGGGGACUCACUACUUUUCUCGUCAGCCCUUGCCUCUCUGAACGACUCCAAAUGUUGAAAAAAUACUUCCUACCCUUGAGGGAAGCACAACAUCUUGUAUGACCUCCUCCAGCCAUUUGGGGCCAGGAACCCUGGCGUGUAUCUGACACCUCAGCCCUCAGAAAUGGUCUGAAAAUUCAGAUUCUAGGUUUGGGGUGAUGCCUCCAGAUGAUUCUGAUGCAUGCAAAAGUUUGAGAACCAGUGCAGCCCUAGAAAGCCUGACUUGAGAAACAGAUUUAACCUGGGAUGGGGGUCCUGAAUGUCACCCACUGAGCCUACCAGGUCCCCUCAGCAGCUCUUAGUUUGAAAGCUACCAAUCCUGAUGCUUUGGCGGGGGCGGGGGGGGCAUUUUGGUUUCCCCACCAGGAAAAUAAAACAUUUGAUUUAAACAAAAACCUGACCCAAAGCUUUCCCUCUGUAAGAGAGGUGAUGGCAGGUGAUGGCAGCCCAUCAGUCCCAGGGUGACAAGCACGGUGACAAAGCAUCAAGGCAGGCCAGGCAGGCUGUAUGUUUGCCCCUACAACUGUCAGGGCCUGCCUGGCAGGCCAGCGGUGCCCAGGGCCAGGCCACCAAGGCAGUGGGGGGUGGCGGGUGGCCAUUGUUCCCAUCCAGACUCCAGCAGCCUGGAGUAAUGACACCAGGGUCUGACAGCCUCUGAGGAAGCUUUUUGUCUCACAGCCACGGCCAAUGCCCAUAAUUGAUAUGGAUUGCAGGGCUGCCACCCUCACCCUGGCUGGCAAUUAGUGCUCGAGUUGCCGGCUGUCAGGAACUCCCGACGCUCGGGGGGGAGUGAAGGCUUGUCAGGUUGCUGGGCCCACGUGGCUCAUUAUGUUAGGGGCAUGGGUCCCCCGCCCUCAGACCCCUUUGAUCACAGUGGGGCGGGGAGAGCAGGUGAGCCGAAUUGUCAUUCCCACUCUCUUUUCAAGAAGGUGGACCAAGGGCACUGGUGACAGUUUCCCUGUCCCUUUUCCCUCUGGAGUCCCUGAGUUCUGCACAGAGAGGCCAGUGGGGAGGGCUCUGGUGGAACUCAGGUUGAGCCAGAGAUAGGAGUGGCUGUGAAGGUCAAAUGGCCUAGGAGGUUGAGGUCUUGGACACCUCCCAGGCUAGAGGGUGGGGCUCGUCAUUCCUGUGUCCCUUUCCUGUGAUAAGUCCCUUAUCAGAAAACUGAGGAGGUGGAUCGGAUCAGAAUUCACCACUCAUUAGUGGAUCAUAAAACUAAUUUAAUAGAUUGAGACAACAUUUUAAAAGCAGAAAAAGGAGUAUGAAGUGGAAUGAAUAGAAUAAAACAGAACAGACUAGGAUAGAAUCCCAAGCAUUCAUUAAGGGUGAGUAUUGUUUCCUAAAAUAUUUGGUCCAAUUAUGUACAUAGAACACAGAUGUGUGUACUGGGGUGUGAUGUAAAAAGUUCUUCUUAUUUUGGGUAAAUAAAGUUUGAAAGCUAUCACACUGGAUGAGCCCCUACUU
rnacentral:lncRNA from 1 species